UACGUAGGGGGCUAGCGUUGUCCGGAAUCAUUGGGCGUAAAGAGCGUGUAGGCGGCCCGGUAAGUCCGCUGUGAAAGUCGGGGGCUCAACCCUCGAAUGCCGGUGGAUACUGUCGGGCUAGAGUGCGGAAGAGGCGAGUGGAAUUCCUGGUGAUAGCGGUGAAAUGCGCAGAUAUCAGGAGGAACACCAAUUGCGAAGGCAGCUCGCUGGGACGUAACUGACGCUGAGACGCGAAAGCGUGGGGAGCAAACAGG
rnacentral:rRNA from 1 species